ACGAACGCUGGCGGCGUGCUUAACACCUGCAAGUCGAACGGAAAGGCCCUGCUUUUGUGGGGUGCUCGAGUGGCGAACGGGUGAGUAACACGUGAGUAACCUGCCCUUGACUUUGGGAUAACUUCAGGAAACUGGGGCUAAUACCGGAUAGGAGCUCCUGCUGCAUGGUGGGGGUUGGAAAGUUUCGGCGGUUGGGGAUGGACUCGCGGCUUAUCAGCUUGUUGGUGGGGUAGUGGCUUACCAAGGCUUUGACGGGUAGCCGGCCUGAGAGGGUGACCGGCCACAUUGGGACUGAGAUACGGCCCAGACUCCUACGGGAGGCAGCAGUGGGGAAUAUUGCACAAUGGGCGGAAGCCUGAGGCAGCAACGCCGCGUGCGGGAGGACGGCCUUCGGGUGGUAAACCGCUUUCGCCUGUGACGAAGCGUGAGUGACGGUAAUGGGUAAAGAAGCACCGGCGAACUACGU
rnacentral:rRNA from 1 species